CGUUGGACCGUCAGACGUGAUUGUACGAGUUUGGCUCCAGAGCUACAGGUGGAGACAUCGUGGCUUCAGAUUUUGCCGCAGAGACAUUUCACCACCAUCUGAUGUUUGUGUCAGCGAGCGAGACCGGCCUCCGUCUUCACGGCACCAGGUGGAGCCCCUGAAGAGACCUACCGGUGCACGUUCAGAGGCAGAGCCAAGCAUCGACCUCUUCAGAUGGACUCUGGGAAAACCACCAGCAUCCUCUCUCCAGACGAACACACUCGAGACUGAUACACUACUUUACCUCCCGCCGUCCUCUCCUCGUCCUCCGGUCCAAUCAGAGAUCACCUCCUCUCUACCUCCCAGAGAAAUAGACAAAAAAAAGCAAUUUAUUAUACGUUCCUCUUUCUCUUCACUUCGUGCAACAUUUCUCCAUUUACCUCAGGGAUUCUCUCCCACUGCCUACCUCCUCCGCCGAAACAGGCAACCGAAACAGCGACUGGAACACCGAGCUGAAACACACCUGUGACCUCUCGCUGCCGUUACCAUGACAACCUGUAUUGCCUCUCAAGCUCUCCUCACUGCAACCGUGACGACCAGCAAUGACCUUGGACCUCGUACCACCUGCCAGCUCAGACCUGCUCACUGCCUAAAUUGUACUGAUCCACACUUGUAGCCUGGCGCUCGGGCGGCUUCUUACCACAAGGAAACGUGUCAUAUUGCCUCACGAUAACCCCCCCCCCCCCACCCCUUUCCCGUCAUCCCAAACUUCUGUACGACACACCUGGCAGGAAACGAUAUACCUCAGCAGACUCUCAAGGACUCCUUCUGAAGGGAACUCUGGCUCUCCUGGUGCUCCAGUCCACACACAGCAGGAAACUCACCAGCCCGGUGCUUCAAUCUACCCAGUAGACGAGUCACUUCAGCAUCUUCCAUUUGCCUUAGAGGCAGGAGUAUAGCAACAGUAGCCAGGGAGGCCUCCAGAGGAGCGCAGAGAGACUCAGGAGUCCCGCCUGGCAGGCAACUUCAUUUCAUAUGCUCCUCAGAAAAGCUUCACACACACGCCUCGCCAUCUAAGCAGUAGCAUAAAUCAGCAAUCGCCCAAGAGGCCUUUCUCAGAUCGCAGCAGAGACUCAGAAGCACCCCCUGCCUUGAGCUUCACCCCGCAACGCCUCCAGAGGAGUGGAGCUACCCACGGAGCGGCCCGACUUCCCUGCAGCUUUUUCCCGACUCUGGAGGAAAGUCGCGGAGAAGAACUCCCCUCGUCAGAUUAAACUCAGAGCAUCAUGAACCUCGGAAAGUUGGAAGAGUAAACACGGAGAUCCAUGAAGA